UAAGUCUGGGCUUUCUUCAUUAAACGUACAAAUCUUUCGCCUUUUACUAAAGAUUUCCGUGGAGAAGGCCAUAUUAAUGAGUAUUUAACAAUUUUUCUUUGGUUUGCUUACGCGAACCG
rnacentral:snRNA from 1 species